rnacentral:rRNA from 1 species
UGAACUGGGNGACUAGAGUGUGUCAGAGGGAGGUAGAAUUCCACGUGUAGCAGUGAAAUGCGUAGAGAUGUGGAGGAAUACCGAUGGCGAAGGCAGCCUCCUGGGAUAACACUGACGUUCAUGCCCGAAAGCGUGGGUAGCAAACAGGAUUAGAUACCCUGGUAGUCCACGCCCUAAACGAUGUCGAUCAGCUGUUGGGCAGCAUGACUGCUUGGUAGCGAAGCUAACGCGCGAAAUCGACCGCCUGGGGAGUACGGUCGCAAGAUUAAAACUCAAAGGAAUUGACGGGGACCCGCACAAGCGGUGGAUGAUGUGGAUUAAUUCGAUGCAACGCGAAGAACCUUACCUGGUCUUGACAUGUACGGAACCCUCCAGAGACGGAGGGGUGCCUUCGGGAGCCGUAACACAGGUGCUGCAUGGCUGUCGUCAGCUCGUGUCGUGAGAUGUUGGGUUAAGUCCCGCAACGAGCGCAACCCUUGUCAUUAGUUGCCAUCAUUAAGUUGGGCACUCUAAUGAGACUGCCGGUGACAAGCCGGAGGAAGGUGGGGAUGACGUCAAGUCCUCAUGGCCCUUAUGACCAGGGCUUCACACGUCAUACAAUGGUCGGUACAGAGGGUAGCCAAGCCGCGAGGUGGAGCCAAUCUCACAAAACCGAUCGUAGUCCGGAUUGCACUCUGCAACUCGAGUGCAUGAAGUCGGAAUCGCUAGUAAUCGCAGGUCAGCAUACUGCGGUGAAUACGUUCCCGGGUCUUGUACACACCGCCCG